rnacentral:rRNA from 1 species
ACUCAAAGGAAUUGACGGGGGCCCGCACAAGCAGCGGAGCGUGUGGUUUAAUUCGAAGCUACGCGAAGAACCUUACCAAGGCUUGACAUCCCUCGCUAUUUGUAGAGAUACAAAGUUCCCUUCGGGGACGAGGAGACAGGUGGUGCAUGGUUGUCGUCAGCUCGUGUCGUGAGAUGUUGGGUUAAGUCCCGCAACGAGCGCAACCCUUGUUCUUAGUUGCCAUCAUUAAGUUGGGCACUCUAAGGAGACUGCCGGUGACAAACCGGAGGAAGGUGGGGAUGACGUCAAAUCAUCAUGCCCCUUAUGUCUUGGGCUACACACGCGCUACAAUGGUCUGUACAAAGGGCAGCGAAGCCGCGAGGCCCAGCGAAUCCCAUAAAACAGAUCUCAGUUCGGAUUGCAGGCUGCAAUUCGCCUGCAUGAAGUCGGAGUUGCUAGUAAUCGCGGAUCAGAACGCCGCGGUGAAUGCGUUCCCGGGCCUUGUACACACCGCCCGU